rnacentral:tRNA from 1 species
GAAACUAUAGUCAAUAUGUAGAUAUGACAUGUAAUUUGCACUUACAAAGAGUUUAAAACUAGUUUCA